GGAAAGGCCCUUUCGGGGGUACUCGAGUGGCGAACGGGUGAGUAACACGUGGGUGAUCUGCCCUGCACUUCGGGAUAAGCUUGGGAAACUGGGUCUAAUACCGGAUAGGACUACGGCCUGCAUGGGUUGUGGUGGAAAGCUUUUGCGGUGUGGGAUGGGCCCGCGGCCUAUCAGCUUGUUGGUGGGGUGAUGGCCUACCAAGGCGACGACGGGUAGCCGGCCUGAGAGGGUGUCCGGCCACACUGGGACUGAGAUACGGCCCAGACUCCUACGGGAGGCAGCAGUGGGGAAUAUUGCACAAUGGGCGCAAGCCUGAUGCAGCGACGCCGCGUGGGGGAUGACGGCCUUCGGGUUGUAAACCUCUUUCACCAUCGGCGAAGCCUCUGGGUGUUCUCAGGGGUGACGGUAGGUGGAGAAGAAGCACCGGCCAACUACGUGCCAGCAGCCGCGGUAAUACGUAGGGUGCGAGCGUUGUCCGGAAUUACUGGGCGUAAAGAGCUCGUAGGUGGUUUGUCGCGUUGUCCGUGAAAUUCUCUGGCUUAACUGGGG
rnacentral:rRNA from 1 species